rnacentral:rRNA from 1 species
AGGAGAACGCUGGCGGCGGUGCCUUAAUACAUGCAAGUAGAACGCUGAUGUUUGGUGUUUACACUAGACUGAUGACGUUGCGAACGGGUGAGUAACGCGUAGGUAACCUGCCUCAUAGCGGGGGAUAACUAUUGGAAACGAUAGCUAAUACCGCAUAGGAGUGAUUAACACAUGUUAGUUAUUUAAAAGGAGCAAUUGCUUCACUGUGAGAUGGACCUGCGUUGUAUUAGCUAGUUGGUGAGGUAAAGGCUCACCAAGGCGACGAUACAUAGCCGACCUGAGAGGGUGAUCGGCCACACUGGGACUGAGACACGGCCCAGACUCCUACGGGAGGCAGCAGUAGGGAAUCUUCGGCAAUGGACGGAAGUCUGACCGAGCAACGCCGCGUGAGUGAAGAAGGUUUUCGGAUCGUAAAGCUCUGUUGUUAGAGAAGAACGUUGGUAGGAGUGGAAAAUCUACCAAGUGACGGUAACUAACCAGAAAGGGACCGGCUAACUACGUGCCAGCAGCCGCGGUAAUACGUAGGUCCCGAGCGUUGUCCGGAUUUAUUGGGCGUAAAGCGAGCGCAGGCGGACUUUAGGUCUGAAGUUAAAGGCAAGUGGCUUAACCAUUGUACGCUUUGGAAACUUGGAGGACUUGAGUGCAGAACGGGGGAGAGUGGAAUUCCAUGUGUACGGUGAAAUGCGUAGCAUAUAUGGAGGAACACCCGGUGGCGAAAAGCGGGAACACUGGCCUGUCAACUGACGGCUGAGGCUCGAAAGCGUGGGGAGCAAACAGGAUAGAUACCUUGGUAGUCAAGGCCGUAACGAGAUGAGUGCAACGUGUUAGGCCCAUUCCGGGCUAAGUGCGACUAACGCAUAAGACAUCCGCCUGGGAGUUCACCGCAAGUUG